rnacentral:rRNA from 1 species
CAGUCGCCGCGGGAAUACGUAGGUGGCAAGCGUCGUCCGGAAUUAUUGGGCGUAAAGGGCUCGCAGGCGGUUUCUUAAGUCUGAUGUGAAAGCCCCCGGCUCAACCGGGGAGGGUCAUUGGAAACUGGGAAACUUGAGUGCAGAAGAGGAGAGUGGAAUUCCACGUGUAGCGGUGAAAUGCGCAGAGAUGUGGAGGAACACCAGUGGCGAAGGCGACUCUCUGGUCUGUAACUGACGCUGAGGAGCGAAAGCGUGGGGAGCGAACAGGAUUAGAUACCCCUGUAGUCCCUGUCUCUUAUAC